AUGAGACCAGGGAUCGAACCCGCAUCCUCAUGGCUCCCAGUCGGGUUCAUAACCCACUGAGCCACAACGGGACCUCCCUUCUUUGGUUAUCCUGUGUUCUGAUUAUUAGAGGCUCCUGAGUUCAGCACGGACCCAUCAAGUCCUUUGAUAAUGAUAGCAACAAUGACAACAAAGACUUAUCGAGGCCUUGUUUUGUGCCGGGCAGUUUGCUAACCACCCUGCCUGGUCAUUAUCUCAUUUAGCCGCAGAAUCAUCUUAUGAGGCGACAGCGUUGCCCACUUUUAAAGGAGCUGAAGUUCGUGGAAGCAACCCUGCCCCCACCUGUUCUCUUCCAUGGGACCCCCUCACCCUCUGGCUCCUCUCUUCAACGCUCAGACUCCUAAACAGACCCCCACCCCCCGACCCCUAAAAGGGGAGAGUCAGGAAACACUUCCUGGAGGGAAGACAUUUGGAUUGAGUUCUGAGAGGCCUGCUGCUGGGGUCCAGCUCCCUCAUUGACAGAAGACCCUGCUGGCCUCAGAGAGCCCGGCCAUCUUCUCAGCCUGACCCAGAAGGAAGAUGGAUGGAACCAGCCUUGCACCGGCCACCCCAGGAGGCUGCAGUGCUGAGCAGGGCUGGGUCUGGACACCUGUGGUCACAGCCCCAAGGUAGAGGCCCUGGUCCCAGCAAGCUCCCCCACACACCCACAAUGGGAAGGAUGCUGCUAGUCCAUUAGUCUUCCACUGAUGGAGUCAGCAGGUGGCAGGGAGGAGGCCACUGGGAAGAGGGGGAGAAGAGACGGAAGGAAGUGGGCUUAUUCCCUCCCUGCGCAGAUGCCCAAAAGGCCUUCCUGAGAGGGACCCAGCAUCCUUGUCCCACACGUAGAGGCAGGGUGGGCCACGAAGAGAACACUGGAUCCAAUAUCCAGCUGCUAUACCACUUGCCAGCUGAGUGACCACUGGCAAGGCAUGGUUCUGUGAGCCUCAGUUGCCUCAUCUGUUAAAUGGGAACAACUAGCCAGACUGUCACGCUCGCAUUAGGACCUGCAUUGCAGACAGGGAGCUCUAGCCAGGCUGUCAAGGCUCUGGGUCCCUUUCUACCUUGAGGUCAAGGGCCUGACUCUUCACUUGGUAACGAGAGGGGGCACUUCAGAUGAGGAGCUCUGAGCUCUGUCACCAGGACCUAGAGACACCAGCAUGGAGACUUCAUUCUCUUUCCACAGUCUCUGCCUCUCCUUCUCCCCUGCUGCUGCUUGAGCCCUAAGUAAAUGACUGACUCCUUCCCUCCUCGGGGCUGGGGAGUGUCCUAUGAACCAGUACAGUGACUAUCACAACUAAGCGGGUCCCAUGAAUAUUUUGGUUUCCUAGGGCCUGUGAAAGUUAUGUUUGCACCUUACUCUAGUCUCUUAAGUGUGCAAUAGCAUUCUGGGGG